rnacentral:rRNA from 1 species
GAUGAACGCUGACAGAAUGCUUAACACAUGCGAGUCAACUUGAACUUCGGUUUGGGUGGCGGACGGGUGAGUAACGCGUAAAGAACUUGCCUCACAGCUAGGGACAACAUUUGGAAACGAAUGCUAAUACCUGAUAUUAUGAUUUUAGGGCAUCCUAGAAUUAUGAAAGCUAUAUGCGCUGUGAGAGAGCUUUGCGUCCCAUUAGCUAGUUGGAGAGGUAACGGCUCACCAAGGCGAUGAUGGGUAGCCGGCCUGAGAGGGUGAACGGCCACAAGGGGACUGAGACACGGCCCUUACUCCUACGGGAGGCAGCAGUGGGGAAUAUUGGACAAUGGACCAAGAGUCUGAUCCAGCAAUUCUGUGUGCACGAUGAAGUUUUUCGGAAUGUAAAGUGCUUUCAGUUGGGAAGAAAAAAAUGACGGUACCAACAGAAGAAGUGACGGCUAAAUACGUG